rnacentral:rRNA from 1 species
CCCCUAGAUGUUCUGGGCCGCACGCGCGCUACACUGAACAGUUCAACAAGUCUUAACCUUGGCCGAUAGGUCUGGGUAAUCUUUGAACGCUGUUCGUGAUUGGGAUAGACCUUUGCAAUUAUGGGUCUUCAACGAGGAAUUCCUAGUAAACGCAAGUCAUCAGCUUGCAUUGAUUACGUCCCUGCCCUUUGUACACACCGCCCGUCGCACCUACCGAUUGAAUGGUCCGGUGAAAUUCUCGGACGCGGACUUGCGAUGUUAAUUCGGAGCUUGACUGUGAAAGUUAAUUAAACCUUACCAUUUAGAGGAAGGUGAAGUCGUANCA